CGUGGGUAACCUGCCCAAGAGAUCGGGAUAACACCUGGAAACAGAUGCUAAUACCGGAUAACAACAGAUGAUGCCUAUCAACUGUUUAAAAGAUGGUUAUGCUAUCACUCUUGGAUGGACCUGCGGUGCAUUAGCUAGUUGGUAGGGUAACGGCCUACCAAGGCGAUGAUGCAUAGCCGAGUUGAGAGACUGAUCGGCCACAUUGGGACUGAGACACGGCCCAAACUCCUACGGGAGGCAGCAGAC
rnacentral:rRNA from 1 species